AUUUGAAGAGUUUGAUCAUGGCUCAAAAUCAACGCUGGCGGCGUGCCUAACACAUGCAAGUCGAACGAGAAAGGGGCUUCGGCCCUGAGUAAAGUGGCGCACGGGUGAGUAACACGUGACUGACCUACCCUCGAGUGGGGAAUAACUUCGGGAAACCGAGGCUAAUACCGCAUAACACCUACGGGUCAAAGGAGCAAUUCGCUUGAGGAGGGGGUCGCGGCAGAUUAGCUAGUUGGCGGGGUAAUGGCCCACCAAGGCGAUGAUCUGUAUCCGGCCUGAGAGGGCGCACGGACACACUGGAACUGAAACACGGUCCAGACUCCUACGGGAGGCAGCAGUGGGGAAUUUUGCGCAAUGGGGGAAACCCUGACGCAGCAACGCCGCGUGGAGGAUGAAGUCCCUUGGGACGUAAACUCCUUUCGACCGGGACGAUAAUGACGGUACCGGAAGAAUAAGCACCGGCUAACUACGUGCCAGCAGCCGCGGUAAUACGUAGGGUGCAAGCGUUAAUCGGAAUUACUGGGCGUAAAGCGUGCGCAGGCGGUUUUGUAAGUCUGUCGUGAAAGCCCCGGGCUCAACCUGGGA
rnacentral:rRNA from 1 species